CUACGGGGUGCUCCAGUGGGGAAUAUUGCACAAUGGGCGCAAGCCUGAUGCAGCCAUGCCGCGUGUAUGAAGAAGGCCUUCGGGUUGUAAAGUACUUUCAGCGGGGAGGAAGGGAGUAAAGUUAAUACCUUUGCUCAUUGACGUUACCCGCAGAAGAAGCACCGGCUAACUCCGUGCCAGCAGCCGCGGUAAUACGGAGGGUGCAAGCGUUAAUCGGAAUUACUGGGCGUAAAGCGCACGCAGGCGGUUUGUUAAGUCAGAUGUGAAAUCCCCGGGCUCAACCUGGGAACUGCAUCUGAUACUGGCAAGCUUGAGUCUCGUAGAGGGGGGUAGAAUUCCGGGUGUAGCGGUGAUAUGCGUAGAGAUCUGGAGGAAUACCGGUGGCGAAGGCGGCCCCCUGGACGAAGACUGACGCUCAGGUGCGAAAGCGUGGGGAGCAAACAGGAUUAGAUACCCUAGUAGUC
rnacentral:rRNA from 1 species